CUUGCAGUGGGUGCUGGAGGGUGCUUUCCUAGCCGUUCCAAGCUUUUCAGAUGCACACAUCAAUGAUGCCAGCAUCACAUCUCCCAUGUGAAGGCCCAGUGCAAGUAAAGCAAAGGGAAACCUGAGAGGAUGACUGGCAGUGUCCUUUAGGAGCUGACUGCAAGUAGAUGUGCUACAGAAGUCAGACCUCCAAGCAAGGCAAGGCAAAUGUUCUCAUCAUGGAAUUACUAAGCUGCAGCUCAGACUGCACAUCCAGUAGGAUAGAAGAGCCUGCUGCCUGGUUCCGAGAGCCCUGAGAGCCAGCUUGGAACAUGUCUUUCUGCAGAGUAGAAGCAGCAGAGCUGAUGAUGAAUUAAAGCCAAGGAAAAAAAUAGCAUUUUGCUUAACCACUUCAGCAAAUGGGUGCGUUCAGCACUGUAGUCAUCGUACAGUGAGUGUGCUAUUGAAUCACAUUUCUCAAGUCUCAUCCUUGGAGAGGUGGUAAGAGACAGACCAAGAGAUGAACAAAGGUCUUUUUAUUCCCCUUUGCUGAUGGGAAUGUCUGCUUUCUCACCGUAGGGGUAUUUUUUCACUUGAAUAUGUAACAGCUACCUUCACCUGCAUGACAGGCACCUCCCACAACUCUCUGGGACUACAUGACAACAGCAGAGCUUCAAUUUUAAUAGACUCCAAGUAGUUUUCACAGAGAGGAGCCUUAAAAACUCCCCAAGGAGAGAUCAUCAAGCGGAAUGGUCCCCAGUGCUGGAUUUAUUAGCAGGCAGGAUGGGGAGCUUGAUUAGCCUGCGUGGCUGAGCAGACAUGCUGUCAGACAGGCCUCUUAAUCCAAUCAGUUACCUGUCGGAGGGAGAACUGCCUCCAGCUUCCCAAUGCAGCAGCACGUCGAGGGAUUGAUAUGCCACUGCUUCUGCAAGCCUGCCACCACAAGGAACGCUUCCCUGCAGAGAAACCUCCUUUGUUGCAGCCAGCGGCUCUGGGAGUGACAUUCUUUUGGAGAAGGGGGGAACGUUAAAGGACACAGUGAGCACCUUCCUCUCCUAACAGCACCGCUUGUUGUGUACAGAGCUUUCAGGAAAGACCUCGUAUAAACACAAUUAAACCUCUCACAGGUAUUCUGGUAUUUUUUCUUGUCCAUUUUCAUCUAGGCAAUGGCUGAGCAAUGCUGUUGAAUAGGUCCCACAUAACAUUACUGUACUGAGCUGCUAAGUUAACCAAUGGGCUAGAUGGUCUCAUAUGGGUGUCUGUGGAAGCUUUCCUCAAACAAAGUGAUCCUACAGCACCACAUGCUUUGCUGAGACUCUUUACACAGCACUGCCAAAAAGAGCUGCCCGGACACUAAGAAUUCCUAAGUUUAGUAGAAAGUCAUUUUGAUUUAAGUAACAGCUACCUCAGGAUCUUACUUUUGGUGAUGGACAGAAAGAGGCAGUGCUGCUUUACAGAGUUGCUGAGGUUUAAAGACUUCUGUUUGAAGAAAACAAAGAAUUCCCACAGCCCUGGAGCUGUGUGAUAGCCUUGCUGUUUUGCUGACUGAAUGGGAAGAGCGAAACAGGAGAUCCUUCCAUCUGCAAAAACAGAAAAAGGCAUCUUAUUUCCACAGUGCAUGAUGCAGCAGAGACUGGAAACCCAGAUCCACGCUCAGUUUCCUUGACAACUACAGAACUUCUAAUGACAAUUUGGAGGUAGGAAGACCAGAUGCAAAUGGUUGAGUUGCCAAGUCCUCGUGAAGGAACACAGAACCCUCUGAUUUAGCAGAGGCACUGCUUAGAUUGGACUUCCUGGACAGAAGAAAUCAUCUAUCUGCAAAGUUCAGAUGUUGAACUACUGAUUUAUCACAAGGUUUACCCAAGGAUGUGGCAAACAAGUUCAAUUUCAAAUAAGAAGCCCUAUGAAUAAACUUAAUUACAUUGAUAAGAGGGUAAAAACAUGCAUAUGUUUAUAUAUAUAUGUGUAUAUAUAUAUAUAGUAGCCUCUUAUUACGAUGUGGCCAUUAUAAAAGCAUGCCAAAACAUGAAAUAUUAAAAUGCUUGUAGCUGCCAUGGCUGCAAUUUCAGAUGUUUUCUUCCUUGGUCUCCACGGACCCAUUUUAAUACAUAUGCAAUGACAGCUAUGCUAAAAAAAAUUCAGAGACAGAAAAAAUGAGAGAUAGAAAAAGCGAGAGAAAGAAAGUUAAAAGGUGCAAAAUACAGAGAUGUUUAACAAAAUCAAACAACCAAUCACAAUAACAUUCAAGGUGGAAACCACAGCAGAAACCAAAUAUGAAAGCAGCCACAACAAAACUCUGUGAUCAGAAGGGCUGUAUUUCUUCCACGUACCUAAAGAAACCUCUGGAAACUUCACAAAUAAAUGUGGUUGGCCACACAAAGCUGAGCACGUGUGCUUUUUCAGAACUGCAAGAGAUAGUGAGGGCAGCAGUAGGAGCAUUGCUGGGAUCAGCUGGAGGUGAGACACUGCCAGAAUGGAUUCUGCUGGAAGCCUUGUGGGAGCUAGUGAAAUAAAGAGCAAAUUGCAGCAGCAACAGUUAAUGGUGGUUUUCUGUACCUGAGGUAGGUUUAUGCCAUUUAGCACCUGUGUUUGUUAUACCUGCUUCACUCUGGAAAACAAGAAAACAUUUUCUGCCAUCAGGGGAAAUGUAUUUCACAGUAUUGUUAGUAAAACCAUUCCUCCCUUUUCUCUCUACCCUACCAAUUCAUGAAAGCAGAACACACUGAAGUUAAACUCCAGAGGUGAUUUCUUGUGCUACGUUGUGCCUUCAGUGCUUGGUAUUUAAUAACGCGUUAUUUGGGCUUCUUUGAAUAUCAGGGCAGGAAGGCUGCAGCCAGCAAACUUCCAAGGACAAAACUCCCAGCUCUCCAUUUCUGCUUGCCACCCACCUUCUCUGCAUGGCACAUGCUUGGUGUCAGACUGCCUCGCUUCCUGCUGCUAGUGGGAUCACAGAAUCAUAGAAUGGCCUGGGUUGAAAAGGACCACAAUGUUCAUCGAGUUCCAACCCCCUGCUGUGUGCAGGGUCACCAACCAGCAGAUCAGACUGCCGAGCCACAUCCAGCCUGACCUUGAAUGCCUCUAGGGGCAUCCACAGCCUUCUUGGGCAACCUGUUCCAGUGCCUCACCACCCUCUGGGUGAAAAAGUCCAGCAUAUCGAGCACUCACACUGGACUGGGAGCAGUGCAAAUGCAAGAAGUCAGUUCCUCAUGCCUGAGCAUCUCCUGCACAACACGGAUGGAGCCCGACAAGCCUUUGUUGCUCAGCUAUUCCUUCAAUAGCGAUGUAUUUCGGCUGAGCAGAUCACACACAUGACGGAAUUUUCAGAAGUGCUGACUCCUGCAGACAGGUGGCUUGCGGUGUCCGUGGUAGGCAGAGCCUGGGUACACCCGAGCUGGUGGCUUGGACUGCCUGCAGGAACCCCGAACCCGCGGCUCCCGCGGCUCCCCGGCAGGUGGCAAUGGCGGGCAGGAGAAGAGCUCUGCUCCGUCCGUCGCCGCCCGAAUCGUCGGAAAGGGGAGAAAAUCGCACGAGCUCCGAAGGACUGUAAAGCUGGAGCUGAAAUGCGGCUGUAUAGACAAGCAAAUUUAAGUCCUCCCGAUGUCUUCUUUUCCUAUGACAUGCCGAACGUGUUUGUGGCACGCUGGUUUUACUCUUUUAUGAUUUAAUGGUGUGACCCAACACUCAAGAACUGUAAAUUCCUGUAAAUAUGAGUCAUAGAAUAUUUAAGGUUGGAAAAGACUUCUGAGGUCAUCCGGUCCGAACUCCCCCCCCCUCCCACCGUGCCCACUGAACCACAUCCCUCGGAGCCACACCUCCAUGGCUUCUGAGCACCCCCAGGACGUGACCCCACCACUGCCUGGACAGCCCAUCCCAGGGCCUGACUGCUCUUUCUGAGAAAAAAUUCUUCCUAAUACCCAACCUGAACCUCCCUUGUGCACACGAGGAUCAGCAGAGACCAUUACUUGGAACUGGGAAAUCACAGCUUCUAACGCCACUGAAAGUUUGAGUGACCUGCGAUCACUUCCAAAAACCUGAAACCCUGUUACUCCCUUGUAUUUUGUAUCUCUUGGGCACUUAAACAGGGACUCUAAAAGGUAUGACUGGGUGAACACCACAUCAGGCCAGUUUGACUGGG